rnacentral:rRNA from 1 species
UGGGAAUUUUGGACAAUGGGCGAAAGCCUGAUCCAGCAAUGCCGCGUGUGUGAAGAAGGCCUUCGGGUUGUAAAGCACUUUUGUCCGGAAAGAAAUCCUUGGCUCUAAUACAGUCGGGGGAUGACGGUACCGGAAGAAUAAGCACCGGCUAACUACGUGCCAGCAGCCGCGGUAAUACGUAGGGUGCAAGCGUUAAUCGGAAUUACUGGGCGUAAAGCGUGCGCAGGCGGUUUGCUAAGACCGAUGUGAAAUCCCCGGGCUCAACCUGGGAACUGCAUUGGUGACUGGGCAGGCUAGAGUAUGGCAGAGGGGGGUAGAAUUCCACGUGUAGCAGUGAAAUGCGUAGAGAUGUGGAGGAAUACCGAUGGCGAAGGCAGCCCCCU